UGUUGCGAUCAUACCAGCACUAAUGCACCGGAUCCCAUCAGAACUCCGCAGUUAAGCGUGCUUGGGCGAGAGUAGUACUAGGAUGGUGACCCCCUGGGAAGUCCUCGUGUUGCAACCCC
rnacentral:rRNA from 1 species